rnacentral:rRNA from 1 species
AUUGAACGCUGGCGGCAGGCUUAACACAUGCAAGUCGAGCGAGCGGCGGACGGGUGAGUAAUGUCUGGGAAACUGCCUGAUGGAGGGGGAUAACCACUGGAAACGGUAGGUAAUACCGCAUACCAUCAGAUGUGCCCAGAUGGGAUUAGCUCGUAGGUGGGGUACUGGCUCACCUAGGCGACGAUCCCUAGCUGGUCUGAGAGGAUGACCAGCCAAGCUGGAACUGUGACCAGGUCCAGCCGCCUACGGGAGGCAGAAGUGGGGAAUAUUGCAAAAUGGGCACAAGCCUGAUGCAGCCAUGCCGCGUGUGUGAAGAAGGCCUUCGGGUUGUAAAGCACUUUCAGCGAGAAGGCGUUACUCGCAGAAGAAGCACCGGCUAACUCCGUGCCAGCAGCCGCGGUAAUAC